AUAAAAACAUCUACAAUAAAAAUAAUCACUCUUGACUUCCUUUGUAGUCAAUGGAGAGAAACAAACAUUUGUGGAGUGUGACUCACCUCAUUCCAAAGUAGGUGUCUAAACUAGUUUGGGUGAAUCAUGUUGUAAAAAUGCCUAAUUCUCUACAUAAUGAGAGCCUCUGGUGACAACUUCAGAUAUAGUUUACUGCACUGUAGAAACCCUCAUCCAAAGGGAGAUGAAUAGAUUUUCUUCUUAGGAGAUCCUAAGAGUAGAUAAACUACCACUUUAGUCCGGACCAUCACCAACAACUGAUGCCUGAGACAACAUACUUAAAGAAAAAUGCAAGAACAAGUUGGGAAGAAGAAGUGGACAGGAGAGUAUUUUGUGGUAUUUUUACUGGCCUGACUGAAGCUGAGGAGGUAUUAGAGGUAAUCUCAUGAGAAAGUUCGACCUUGCAAGAUUUCCGAUUGUUUUCCAGAGCCAAGAGAUUCAGAUACAUUUGGAUAGACUUUGAAUAAACAUCCAACUCUUUGCAUGC
rnacentral:lncRNA from 1 species